CCUACGGGAGGCAGCAGUGGGGAAUAUUGGACAAUGGGGGGAACCCUGAUCCAGCCAUGCCGCGUGUGUGAAGAAGGCCUUAUGGUUGUAAAGCACUUUAAGCGAGGAGGAGGCUACUUUAGUUAAUACCUAGAGAUAGUGGACGUUACUCGCAAAAUAAGCACCGGCUAACUCUGUGCCAGCAGCCGCGGUAAU
rnacentral:rRNA from 1 species